rnacentral:rRNA from 1 species
GCAGUCGAGCGGAUGAAGGGAGCUUGCUCCCUGAUUUAGCGGCGGACGGGUGAGUAAUGCCUAGGAAUCUGCCUGGUAGUGGGGGAUAACGUUCCGAAAGGAACGCUAAUACCGCAUACGUCCUACGGGAGAAAGCAGGGGACCUUCGGGCCUUGCGCUAUCAGAUGAGCCUAGGUCGGAUUAGCUAGUUGGUGAGGUAAUGGCUCACCAAGGCGACGAUCCGUAACUGGUCUGAGAGGAUGAUCAGUCACACUGGAACUGAGACACGGUCCAGACUCCUACGGGAGGCAGCAGUGGGGAAUAUUGGACAAUGGGCGAAAGCCUGAUCCAGCCAUGCCGCGUGUGUGAAGAAGGUCUUCGGAUUGUAAAGCACUUUAAGUUGGGAGGAAGGGCAGUAAGCUAAUACCUUGCUGUUUUGACGUUACCGACAGAAUAAGCACCGGCUAACUUCGUGCCAGCAGCC